rnacentral:rRNA from 1 species
GUGGGGAAUAUUGGACAAUGGGCGCAAGCCUGAUCCAGCCAUACCGCGUGGGUGAAGAAGGCCUUCGGGUUGUAAAGCCCUUUUGUUGGGAAAGAAAUCCUGUCGGUUAAUACCUGGCGGGGAUGACGGUACCCAAAGAAUAAGCACCGGCUAACUUCGUGCCAGCAGCCGCGGUAAUACGAAGGGUGCAAGCGUUACUCGGAAUUACUGGGCGUCAAGCGUGCGUAGGUGGUGGUUUAAGUCCGUUGUGAAAGCCCUGGGCUCAACCUGGGAAUUGCAGUGGAUACUGGAUCACUAGAGUGUGGUAGAGGGAUGCGGAAUUUCUGGUGUAGCAGUGAAAUGCGUAGAGAUCAGAAGGAACAUCCGUGGCGAAGGCGGCAUCCUGGGCCAACACUGACACUGAGGCACGAAAGCGUGGGGAGCAAACAGGAUUAGAAACCCGGGUAGGCC